UACGUAGGGGGCAAGCGUUGUCCGGAUUUACUGGGCGUAAAGCGCGCGUAGGUGGAACGUUAAGCGUGGCCUGAAAGCCCCCGGCUCAACCGGGGAGGGUGGCUGCGUACUGGCGUUCUUUGAGGGGGACAGAGGUGGGUGGAAUUCCGGGUGUAGCGGUGAAAUGCGUAGAGAUCCGGAGGAACACCGGUGGCGAAGGCGGCCCACUGGGUCGACCCUGACACUGAGGCGCGAAAGCGUGGGGAGCGAACGGG
rnacentral:rRNA from 1 species